AAUCUUCCACAAUGGACGAAAGCCUGAUGGACCAACGCCGCGUGAGUGAAGAAGGUUUUCGGAUCGUAAAACUCUGUUGUAAGGGAAGAACAAGUACAGUAGUAACUGGCUGUACCUUGACGGUACCUUAUGAGAAAGCCACGGCUAACUACGUGCCGUCCGCCGCGGUAAUACGUAGGUGGCAAGCGUUGUCCGGAAUUAUGGGGCGUAAAGCGCGCGCAGGCGGUCCUUUAAGUCUGAUGUGAAAGCCCACGGCUCAACCGUGGAGGGUCAUUGGAAACUGGGGGACUGGAGUGCAGAAGAGGAAAGUGGAAUUCCAAGUGUAGCGGUGAAAUGCGUAGAGAUUUGGAGGAACACCAGGGGCGAAGGCGACUUUCUGGUCUGUAACUGACGCUGAGGCGCGAAAGCGUGGGGAGCAAACA
rnacentral:rRNA from 1 species